GCGCCGGACGACAUUCGACUGAACGCGUCAGAGGGGACCCGACUACCAAACCUUCACCACGGUCGGUCGGCUCCCGACUCAACAGACGCGCCCGACUGACGACCUUAACUAUCAAAGGCCGAUCCAAAGUCGGGACUUACUCUACCUUCGUGGCGGCACAAGUUGCCGAACGUCCUAACCGACCUAUAUGAGUUAGCAACUUACAUGAGUUAGUGACUUACGAAGACAUUCAACAAUACACAAGAAGAAGAUCGAGCAGAGGAAAA
rnacentral:lncRNA from 1 species